UUCUGUUUCAAACGUCGUUGUGUAAGUUGUGGUUAAAUUUUGUUAAAAUUUAUCUUAAAACAUCUUUUAAUGUAAUCAGUUGGAAUUAAUCAUAUUAGUUUGUUUUUGUUAACUGAUUUACGAUUAAUUUGUUUAGCAGAAUACUUUUUUACAAACUAAUUUUUAAGUGUGAAGAUUAAGCACGUGUUUAAUUUAUAGGUUAGGUUGAGUAAACAUUUAUAAACAGGUUUUGGAAUCGUCUAGUUUCGAAAUCAACUUUUCUUGUGUACUUUUAAAUUAAUAAAAACUUUAUAAUUAUUUAUG